GGUUAAGUUAGAAAGGGCGCACGGUGGAUGCCUUGGCACUAGGAGCCGAUGAAGGACGGGACGAACACCGAUAUGCUUCGGGGAGCUGUAAGCAAGCUUUGAUCCGGAGAUUUCCGAAUGGGGAAACCCACCACUCGUAAUGGAGUGGUAUCCAUAUCUGAAUUCAUAGGAUAUGAGAAGGCAGACCCGGGGAACUGAAACAUCUAAGUACCCGGAGGAAGAGAAAGCAAAUGCGAUUCCCUGAGUAGCGGCGAGCGAAACGGGAUUAGCCCAAACCAAGAGGCUUGCCUCUUGGGGUUGUAGGACACUCUGUACGGAGUUACAAAGGAACGAGGUAGAUGAAGAGGUCUGGAAAGGCCCGCCAUAG
rnacentral:rRNA from 1 species